CCUCGAGGACGACCUCGAGGAGGACCUCAAGGACGACCUCGAGGACGACCUCA
rfam:Ixodes scapularis strain Wikel colony gcontig_1108378829004, whole genome shotgun sequence.